rnacentral:rRNA from 1 species
ACGAACGCUGGCGGCGUGCUUAACACAUGCAAGUCGAACGAUGAACCACUUCGGUGGGGAUUAGUGGCGAACGGGUGAGUAACACGUGGGCAAUCUGCCCUGCACUCUGGGACAAGCCCUGGAAACGGGGUCUAAUACCGGAUAAUACUCCUGCACUCAUGUGUGGGGGUUAAAAGCUCCGGCGGUGCAGGAUGAGCCCGCGGCCUAUCAGCUUGUUGGUGAGGUAAUGGCUCACCAAGGCGACGACGGGUAGCCG